AAGACUAUAGUCAAUAAUAUGAUAUAUGAGUUGCAUUCAUAAGGAGUUCUACUUGAACUAGUUUUA
rnacentral:tRNA from 1 species